rnacentral:lncRNA from 1 species
AAAAACUACAUAUACAAUAACCCGCUUAACUUCUACCUUCUCCAACUCUGCUUGUUCCCUAGUGAUCGCUACAGUCGAUGAUAGCUAGAACUAAUGAACUAAGUUAACUCAUCAGAAUAACCUCCCCUCCUAGCCCGAUAGCUCUUUAGGAAAGUAUUAUGAAAGGUAGACUCCACUUCUAGGUCUUUGAUCUCACCCAAUCCUAUAUGCUACACUAGUUUGAAGAGUCUACUUCCCU